CCUACGGGAUGCACCAGUGGGGAAUAUUGCACAAUGGGCGCAAGCCUGAUGCAGCCAUGCCGCGUGUAUGAAGAAGGCCUUCGGGUUGUAAAGUACUUUCAGCGGGGAGGAAGGUGUUGUGGUUAAUAACCGCAGCAAUUGACGUUACCCGCAGAAGAAGCACCGGCUAGCUCCGUGCCAGCAGCCCCGGUAAUACGGAGGGUGCAAGCGUUAAUCGGAAUUACUGGGCGUAAAGCGCACGCAGUCGGUCUGUCAAGUCGGAUGUGAAAUCCCCGGGCUCAACCUGGGAACUGCAUUCGAAACUGGCAGGCUAGAGUCUUGUAGAGGGGGGUAGAAUUCCAGGUGUAGCGGUGAAAUGCGUAGAGAUUUGGAGGGAUACCGGUGGCGAAGGCGGCCCCCUGGACAAAGACUGACGCUCAGGUGCGAAAGCGUGGGGAGCAAACAGGAUUAGAUACCCCUGUAGUC
rnacentral:rRNA from 1 species